CGCGACGCGAGGCGAGGUCAAGAAACGAUAGACGCGGAAUCCCCAGUUCCCCACCCCCAACCCUGUCUCCAACUCCUAGCCGCCGCCGUGCUCUUCUCGCGACUCCGCGAGCCCUAGCCGCGCCUCACCGCCGCCGCCGCCCGCUCGCCCGCCCGACGAAACCUGCACGUCGACUCCGCGCUUGUAAGCGCUCCGGCGAGCGUCUGGUUUGAGGGUUCCUUGGCGCCUGUGCGUGCCGGUGGCAGUCCUGAGCGCCGGUCAACUCUCAGCCGUCUACAUGGGCUCGGCGGCCGGCGCCGGGUGCGUCGGUGGCCGCGCGCGUUUGUCGCCGUCCAUCCAUGGAUGAUCCAUACCCCGGGCUAGAUGAUCCGUCCGGAGCCAGAUCGACUUGGGACUUGGCCGUAGACGGAAGUUUGCCGGUCUAUCGGCGCUGACUCGGUCUCACGGCCAAGGAUAUUAUCAGGAUGAUCUGUUGAAAUCGGUGGCUGGCUCAGCUCCCUAUAGGCGAGACGAUGCCAGGGGCUUCGGCUGGCACCGUUGCCGGCGGUUGCAUCCGCCGCAAAUCGGCUCCCGGCGAUGGUAUUGCGGUGAUGAGUUUAACGGAGAAGACUAGAUCUAAGCCAUCUGGACUACCCGCCCGGUCUACCCCUCUCUGCCGAGCUAACCGUAGAAGGGAGAUUCAGUUCCAGUAUUUGGCAAUGCACUCCUACUCAACAAGUCGCAGGGUCAUACGUUUCACAAUUUGGGUUCGACGAGAUGAUGUUCUCCCUUUCAUCUGGCUAUCCAUGUUAUCAGCCAUGGCAGGAGGCGUUGUGCUCAAGUUUUCUACGUGUUUAUUAUUACAAUAUAUGUAUUUUUCUCAUCUUCUUCAGAAGAAAAUUUAUCGACUACACUAAUGGUAAUGGGUGACACUCUGUUUGGGUCUACUGUGGAAUUUAUUGUUUUGAUGAUAGGCUUCAUUUGUCACAAAUUAUUUUCUUGUUCUCUGCAUUUGACUGCCGCCGUUUUGUUCCUUUAUUGGCAUUUUGUUUUUUUGAUCUGUUCUGUCAAGCUAUUUGUUAUUCAUGUUCUGUGUUAGGUCAUGAUUUGGUAGCCUAGGCCCUUACGACCAAAUCCUUACAUUCAGUUAACCUUCAGAUUUUCAUCGGUAUCCUAUAAAACUGGGCAUAUAUACUUUCAUUUCUUACGUACUACUUAGCGAUUAGAGAUGGCAGAACACGAUUGUAGCACGUACAGUCUAGCAUUUCCUAGUUCUCUCUUUUGUCUUGGGGAAGGUGGUCUCAAUGAAAAAUAUCGUUCUAUUUUUUUGUUUGUUCCUAUGAAACAAGAUCUUGGUGACGGUGCAUCCAACGCAAUGCAAUACGGGUCCAUUGGAUCUUCUAUGAUAGCCAAAAAUGUAGUUAUUUGAGUAAAUUUCACAAAAACCCCAGGUUUUGCGACACUUAUAACACAAAACAUCAUGCAUUACAAUUUGUGAUGAAGAACCCUAGGUUUUGGGGAAAAAUGUUCCACGAAAUCUCAUGUUUAAGCUUAUAUUGUUAUUUGUCUAAUAUAUUUAUGCAUAUUAAUUGCAAAAAAAUAACGAGAUAUUAGUGAGUAUAUAUAUGCAUGUUUGCCUCAUUUUUACAAGCAUUAUUAUGGUAAUAUGAUUAAUGUUUAUCUAUAUAAGUAAACCGGUUAAUAUGUCAUUAUUAGUAUGGUUGUGUUUAUUCAAUCGUACAAUGCAAAAGUAAGGAAAAAUAUGAAGUACACGGGAUGGUUAUGUAUUUUGAGCAUACCAAUGCAAACAUAUACUAAAAAUAUUAUAUAUAAUAAUAGAAUUAUCAGUAUGUGAUAUAAACAUGGGGUUUCUUGAAAUGCUAUACCUCAAAACCUGGGUUUCCUUGAAACAAAUCGUAAUAUCUGAGGUUUUGUGUUACACGUGCCUCAAAACCUGUGGUCUUCUAAAAUUUAAUCUAGUUAUUUUUGUUUUUAUAUUUUUUCUUAAAAAUAUUUUUAUGUGCAAAUAUAGUUUGUCUAUUUCUUGCUGAUGUAGUCAUGAUACAAAUGUAUCGUAUUUGAAUAAGCCUAAUUUUUAAAACGGGUCACUUCACUAUUAUAUGUAUAGUAGUAGUCUUAUAGGCCUAAUGGUCUUAUAUUGAACCAAUAUGUCUUUUUGUUCCACUUAAGAGCAUAAAAGAAAGACUGGGAUCUUAGGAGGCUAGCAUGCUAAUAAGUACCCAUAUGACAUCCUAACGUGCAUUUUGUAAGUGAUUGAAUCACGUCAUGUUACAUAGCUUUAGCCAAUUCAUCUUCAGCAACAUGUGGAAAUUGUAAUAACAAAAAUAUUUUGUUAAGAUGGAUUUAGCAUGGCUUUCUUGCCAUGCUCAUAUGUGAUGUAAUUCCCCUGAAUCGAUGUGCUUGAAAGGUUGAAGAUGUUGUAACGUAUUGUGGAUUCCCCUAUUAUUUCCCUGGGGCUAAAGGGGUACUCAUUAGUCUGGUGGCUGGUGAGGGGUUUAUAUUGUUCCAUAUUGGCAUUUCUGGCCUUCAGCAUUUUAAUAAGUUAAUGAAAUAGUAAAGGUACGCCACAAUUGGAUGCUUAAUUGAUUUGUCCUAGUAUUUUAAAAUUACACAUGAUUCUGUGCGGGUUGAUUUUGUUUGAGCUAUUUUCCACUGCACUUCACACUAAACUAUCUUCUGAUGUGCAGGUGUGCUGAUUGUUAUGGCGUUCUCUCUAUAUCAAAGCCAUCUGCUCUUAUCCUUAAUAUCAUAUUAGGUAUGUGUUAGAUAAAGCUCUAAACCUUUGAACAUAGGUAUUUCAGUUCGGUUUAUCUACUUAAAUUACGUAUAUACAAAAAAUUCCCAUGUGUAAGUUCGGUUAGGAGUUAUAAGUUUUUCAGAUCGAUCAAAUAAACAUGCUAUGAUUGACAUUAGUGGUCAACAUUGUAUUUUUAAGACCACGCUUAUAACCAAAGCAACAUAAUUGGGAAUUUAGUAUUGCUUAAAUAGGUUUGGAAAAAACAUGUAGCGAGAUAUCAAAGGAGUAUAUAACAUCACACCCAGGGUUUUCACGAUAUUGCGGUGACUGGUAUAAAACUCAGAAGGUUACGGCGUAACUGUGAUAAAUGUGUGGUACUGCAUGAUAUUACAAAUCCCAAUCACACCAUAACAUCAAAGUCAAAAGUCAUAGAACCUGACUUAGUUGAUAGUUCCUUCGCUAACUUGAUUCUAGAGUUUUCUACAUCUUUAUGACUCUCUCAAAUACCUGCAGAUAAGAUAUAAUUGAUAUAAUUAGUCACCGCUUCAAUUUACAGAAGUUCAAAAUUCGCUUCAAUUUACAGAAGUUCAAAAUUUCAGAAGUAUUAUAAGUUCAAAACUUAUAGAUAUAGUUAGUUAUCCAGGAAGGUAGCCCAUGCUUUUGCGUGGGAAUCUUAUUUAUGUAUGUAACUUUUAUUACUGGAAAUAUGUGGGGGUGACUUUAACUUAAAACUGGAAAGGAAGCCCACGCAAAUGCACAGAUUAUUUAUUAUAAAAGAUUGCUAAAAGAAGUCCAUACUAAGUAUAAGAACCUCAUAUUUAUUACUACCUCCGUCCCAUAAUAAUUGUAUUUCUACCCUUCAAAUUUUGUCCCACAAAAAUUGUAUUUCUGAUAAGAUGAGACCCAACAAAUGGAAUUUCUAUCCCAACCUUCCUUUUAAUUAAGUUUACAUAUGGAAUGUGUGCCUCAACCUUCCUUUUAACAAAGUAUAUAUAUGGAAUAUGUGCAUGCAAUGUAGUUAUUAAAUAGGGUUAUUGUGGUAAAUUGUGUUUGUUGUUAAUGUCUCUAAUUCCCUAGAAAUGCAAUUAUUAUGGGACGGAGGGAGUAUUUAUUAAAAUAAUGCUAAAGAAAUCCUAUUGCACCAUAUUCACUAUAACAAUCGUAGAUUACCUUAUAAUUAAAUACAAAGAAAAAUUUAGACCACAUGUUUUGAUAUACCAAAUGAUAAUAAUAUCUCUCAUAUUCAAUAAGAAAUUAAUUGUCCCGGUUUUUUGUCCUGUGAUAUGUAAACACGACUAUCACCACUAUUUAUUAUUUUGUCUUGAAAGUUGGGUGCCUUUUUAAUAGAAGGAAUUGCAUCCAUACCAAAAAAAACCCUAAUACAUCAAUAAUACUGUAAAAAAAGUUCAUCUUCACUUCAAACCAAAGUGUUCAUGUUUCAUUUGUGUUUCAGUAAUCAGUAUAUAUAAAAAUAUUUUAAUGUAUCGCUUCUACCAAUUCAUGGGAGAAAAUCAUUAAAAAUUAGAUAUAAAUGCUCCUCUAACGGGUGAAGCCGACCUUAGCCACGAAGGUUUUCUUCUCUUAUGCCUUGAUACAUGGGUCCCAUAUCGACAUAGCCGUGCCCUCAAGACCAGUGUGAAGCACUAUUAUAACGUCUGGUUCACUAUUGGCUGAAAAUUGCAUUUUAUUUUAAACAAGUUAUUUUUUAAAAGUUUGCAGCAUCAUAUUAGUAAAUUAUGUUGUGUUUUGUUUGGUUGUAGCCUUAGCGAUCUGUUUUUAAUUGUAAUAUAUGAAAUCUGAAUGUUUUAACAUUAGUUUUAUGUCGUAUGAAGUAUAGUCAGUCCGCCUUUGAACUCUUAAAAUAUAGAUAUAUCCUAGUGAACUACCCUAAGAAAUAAAUGCGAUGAAAUGAGUCACAUUAGAGGGGUAGACUGAUCAUAUGUACAUAUAUACAAACAUGACAACGUUUUAGUUCUAAUUUAAGGGUUAGGAGGAAAUUGUUAAUAGUUUUUUUUUCUAGAUCCAAAUACGUCUAUGUGUUUUUUUGGCAAGUAGUAGUCUCUUGUACAUGCAUAUAUACAUACGUAUGCGUUUUUCGGAAGAACAGUACAUAUUUAUUUUUCUCCUGCAAAUACGUGGGAAAUUAGGAGAGAGAGAUUAAUUACUUUAAUAGAUCUAAUCUAAUAAAUGAAAAUAAUAGAUUCACCUGUUUAAUACAUGGAUAUAUACAUAGAACUAAUAUGUGCAUGCAUAUAGGAUGCAUGAGACAGGUUUGAUUACAUAGUUUAUUCUCGUUUUGGCACCUAGUUGAUUGGAAUCUACAAAUUAAUUGUCUUUUUUUUUCUAAAGAAUAUAGUCAACUUUAAUAUCCAAAUGGUGUUUCAUAAUAUUAUUUUAUAAUCUAUCAAAAGUUAAAAGCACAAAAACUACAUAUACUCUGUAAUUAUUGGGACUGUUAUUUAUUUCUCUUGAUAUUUUAGGUCUUUUAGCUGCAUAUGUGUUUUUAAAGAGAUAUAUGGUGAUAUAAUUUACAUAAACCAUCAGAAACCAGCCAGUACACAGAAGCUGAAACCAGCCUGAAUCUAACAUUCUAACCAGUACACAGCAGCUGAAACUAGAUUUGAACUGCAAAGAAACACAAAUUCUAACAGCAAAAUCUAACAGCGGCAGUUGUACUGGCUGUUCAAGGGGCCUCUUUGCAAAACUGCCUGCACGUGCAGUUGACUCUCCCUUGGGAAUAACUCAUGUGAUAUGUAUCUAGUUAUGUAUACUUAAUAAAAUGCAUGGGGUUCUAAAAUAAAUCAGCAGAAAUAGCCCAUUAACAAUUGUUUGCAGCAGGUCCAGGUGCGUCCAAAAGUGUAAGGUCUUAAGAGAGAUAUUUAGGAAUUGCUCAGUGCAGUAUCCAUUCCAUACACCCAACAUGUAAAUAUUUGUCAAAACUGUCUGCAUGGCAGUCCUAUCCAUGUUGGGAAACUAAAGGAAAUAGCAUAAUUGCUCAUUCGUUUGAAUAACUCUACAUAGCCUGAAAACGAUGCGGUCCAAUUUGUCCUCUUAUGUUAACUGAUUAAUGCUUCUAAUAAUUGAAAGAGUUACUACUAAAUUAUCUUCCUUCCUCAACAACGCAAAGUGUUUGGGAGUGCAAUACCAUUGUGAAGUGCAUUGAGACUGAAUCUUGGAGAUAAAAUAUUGAACUCUAAUAGUGAGUGCCUUUGUACUUUUAAUUGAUUUUUAUAUCACAAUGCACAGAUAUUUUCAGCACUUUAAGCAACGGUAUUUUUUCCAUUUGCACAGUAAUGGCAAUAUGUAAAGUUGCUCUGAUACUCUUGCAUGGUCUUUAACGAUUUCUUGAGCCAUUAGAGUAUAGUGUAUGCCACAUUAUGUUGAUAAUAAAAAUAAGUCUCAUGAAGAAAAUUGUGUUUCUAUAGAUAGGUGGCACGAAAGGCUUAUUUGCAAGUCAAAUUCGAUGAGAAGGUUUGCAAAUUUGUGUUGCACAAGCUUGCCAGGUACUACGGAAAGGUAAAUGUAUGGGUUCUAAAACAAAUCAGCAGAUAUAACCCACUAGUAAUUCUUUGCAGCAGGUCCAGGUGCGUCCAACUAUGUAAGGUCUUGAAAAGAGUGAUUUUUAAGAUUUGCUCAGUGCAGUAUAUAUUUUAUACACCCAGCAUGCUAAUAUUUGUCAAAAAUGUCUGCAUGGAAUUCCUAUCUAUGUUGGGGAACAUUCGUUUGAAUUUCGCAGCAAAGUUUUCAUAGCCUGAAAACUACGCGGGUUCAAUUCGUUAAUUUAUCAGAUUGUUCUCCAGAAAGUCUAAUUCAUUCA